UUCCUUGCAGGUCGAUCAGAACAGAUCUCAGGCUUAGAUAAAAUUAAAAAAAAAAUGGCUGCAGCGAUCUUGCGCAAGAUCCUUGUCGCUGCCACUCUUGUUUCUCUGCUCUUCUUCAUGGGUAUGCAUUGUUUCUUAACUAUAUUCGUUGAAAAUGUCAUUUAGAGUUUAUUUUUUAAAAAUAAUGGAGUUAACAGGACGAUCUUGUGAGCGCUCAUGCAGUUGCAGUUGCAGUCGCAGGAGCAGAAGCGGUUCCAUCGGACCUCACUCCUCCAUUCGAGUCAGACUACUUCAUAUGCCAGACGCUCCGGAGCAACCUCGUGAAGCCCAACUGCCCCACCUGGUGCCAUAGCAUGGGCUUCCAGACAGGCCAUGUCCACACCGGCGACUGCUGCUGCACCAACGGACGGUGAUGGAUGAGAUGAACUCCAUCCCAUUCUCAUCCUAGCUAGCUAGAGUGCCGGGGAAAAAUGAACAGACAUUCUCAUAAUGAGAGCAUGGUGCAAUAAUUUUGUUCGAAAUAAGAAAUCCUAUAAUUGAUAAGAUAAGAAGAACACAAAAGGCUAUCAAUGUAAGAAA
rnacentral:lncRNA from 1 species